CCAUACUACCCUGAACAUGUCUAAUCUCAUCUGAUUUCAGAAGCUAAGCAGGGUUGGGCCCCGUUAGUUCUUGUGUGGGAGAAAGGAGAGUCUCUUCAACAAAUGGUGUUGGGAAAAUUGGGCUG
rnacentral:rRNA from 1 species